rnacentral:rRNA from 1 species
UACGUAGGGGGCGAGCGUUGUCCGGAUUUACUGGGUGUAAAGGGUGCUCAGGUGGUUUUGUAAGUCAGAGGUGAAAUUUCGGGGCUCAACCCCGGAACUGCCUUUGAUACUGCAAGGCUUGUGUACGGAAGAGGCUGAUGGAAUUUCUGGUGUAGCAGUGAAAUGCGUAGAUAUCAGAAAGAACACCAGUGGCGAAAGGCGGUCAGCUGGUCCGGUACAGACACUAAAGCACGAAAGCAUGGGUAGCAAACAGGA